GACGUAGGGGGCCAGCGUUGUUCGGAAUUACUGGGUGUAAAGGGUUCGUAGGCGGUGCGGCAAGUUGGGAGUGAAAUCUCUGGGCUUAACCCAGAGGCUGCUUCCAAAACUGCUGUGCUUGAGUGUGGGAGAGGCGCGUGGAAUUGCAGGUGUAGCGGUGAAAUGUGUAGAGAUCGGGAGGAACACCGGUGGCGAAGGCGGCCUUCUGGACGGUGACUGACGCUGAGGCGCGAAAGCGUGGGGAGCAAACGGG
rnacentral:rRNA from 1 species